rnacentral:rRNA from 1 species
UACGUAGGGUCCGAGCGUUGUCCGGAAUUAUUGGGCGUAAAGGGCUCGUAGGCGGUCUGUCGCGUCGGGAGUGAAAACUUACAGCUUAACUGUGAGCGUGCUUCCGAUACGGGCAGACUUGAGGUAUUCAGGGGAGAACGGAAUUCCUGGUGUAGCGGUGAAAUGCGCAGAUAUCAGGAGGAACACCGGUGGCGAAGGCGGUUCUCUGGAUAUCCUGACGCUGAGGAGCGAAAGUGUGGGAGCGAACAGG